CAUCAUUUCUGAGUGUGUCUGUGUGGUGUUCCAGAAGAGAUUAGCAUCAGAAGACUAAAGAAGAUCUGCCCUCACCAAUGCAGAGCAAGUUUGCCAACCUGUAUCUUAAUUCAUCUUUGUGGCCAGAGAAGUGGAUUUACUGAUUUGUUUCAGCUGAUCAAUGUCUAUAACAAGCAAUGUUGAUGGGCUGAAAACCACACAGACUACCAGAGGGGUUGCUUUUCCGAAGAAUCAUGUAAGGAUAAAAGAGAAAGAAAGAGAGAAAGACCUUGGAACCCAACUAGUAUCUACCAAAUAGAUGGGGUUUCACCAUGUUGGCCAGGCUGGUCUCGAACUCCUGAUCUCAGGUGAUCUGCCCGCCUUGGCCUCCCAAAGUGCUGGGAUUACAGUUCUCUUCAGGGAAUUUUGUCUGGUUCAAGAAGUCAUACCCCAACCCAAGAGAAGCCUUGGACAUCUCUCAUAAGACAUCCAAGGGACAGAGCUCCUGGGAGACCUAGAGUGAGCUGGAGAGUGAACAACAUACCCCACUGGGAAGUAAGCAGCCCUGGAUUCUGCCUCUUGCUAACUGAUUCGUUUCGAACCCUGUUUUUCUAUCUGUAAAAGGGACUGUAACUCCCCUGCCCCUGCCUAGAUUCUCAUACCUGGAGACUAGGGGGCUAAGACCCCUUCUAGAGAUAAAAAUAAAAGUCUUAAAGAGAAAG
ensembl:lncRNA CCL3-AS1 CCL3 antisense RNA 1